rnacentral:rRNA from 1 species
AUCCCCUGGGCCUGUACUGGCGCUCAUGCACGAAAGCGUGGGGAGCAAACAGUUAUUAGAUACCCUGGUAGUCCACGCCCUAAACGAUGUCAACUGGUUGUUGGGUCUUAACUGACUCAGUAACGAAGCUAACGCGUGAAGUUGACCGCCUGGGGAGUACGGCCGCAAGGUUGAAACUCAAAAGAAUUGACGGGGACCCGCACAAGCGGUGGAUGAUGUGGUUUAAUUCGAUGCAACGCGAAAAACCUUACCCACCUUUGACAUGUACGGAAUCCUUUAGAGAUAGAGGAGUGCUCGAAAGAGAGCCGUAACACAGGUGCUGCAUGGCUGUCGUCAGCUCGUGUCGUGAGAUGUUGGGUUAAGUCCCGCAACGAGCGCAACCCUUGCCAUUAGUUGCUACGAAAGGGCACUCUAAUGGGACUGCCGGUGACAAACCGGAGGAAGGUGGGGAUGACGUCAAGUCCUCAUGGCCCUUAUAGGUGGGGCUACACACGUCAUACAAUGGCUGGUACAAAGGGUUGCCAACCCGCGAGGGGGAGCUAAUCCCAUAAAGCCAGUCGUAGUCCGGAUCGCAGUCUGCAACUCGACUGCGUGAAGUCGGAAUCGCUAGUAAUCGUGGAUCAGAAUGUCACGGUGAAUACGUUCCCGGGUCUUGUACACACCGCCCGUCAACACCAUGGGAGCGGGUCUCGCCAGAAGUAGGUAGCCUAACCGCAAGGAGGGCGCUUACCACGGCGGGGUUUCGUGACUGGGGUGAAGUCGUAACAAAGUUAACC